rnacentral:rRNA from 1 species
UGCAGCGUUACUCGAUCCACUGCGUAAAGCGCAUGUAGCGGUUCGAGUCGAUGGGAGCAUGGGCUACCGGCAUGCAGUCGAUCUGUAGAUCUGAUGUUCGAGAGAUGCAGAUCUGUGUAGAAGUGGAAAUUCGUAGAUAUCAGAGAUACCCGUGCGAGGCGGCUGUCUGCGAAACAUUGACGCUGAGGUGCGAAAGCGCGGGGAUCAAACAGGAUUAGAUACCCUGGUAGUCCGCGCCGUAAACGAUGGAUACUCGAUGUUCGGAGAGUUAACCCUCUGAGUAUCAAAGCUCACGCAUUAAGUAUCCCGCCUGGGGAGUACGGCCGCAAGGUUGAAACUCAAAGGAAUUGACGGGGGCCCGCACAAGCGGUGGAGUAUGUGGUUUAAUUCGAAGCAACGCGCAGAACCUUACCUGGGUUUGACAUCCCGCGAAUACAGUAGAGAUAUUGUCGGCCCUUCGGGGACGCGGAGACAGGUGCUGCAUGGCUGUCGUCAGCUCGUGUCGUAAGAUGUUCGGUUAAGUCCGGCAACGAGCGCAACCCUUGUCUUUAGUUGCUACAUUAAGUUGAGCACUCUAGAGAGACUGCCGGUGUUAAACCGGAGGAAGGCGGGGAUGACGUCAAGUCCUCAUGGCCCUUACGUCCAGGGCUACACACGUACUACAAUGGUGGAGACAAACCGACCCGAAGCAGCGAUGUGAAGGAAAUCGGAAAAACACCACCUCAGUUCGGAUUGGAGUCUGCAACUCGACUCCAUGAAGUUGGAAUCGCUAGUAAUCGCAGAUCAGCACGCUGCGGUGAAUACGUUCCCGGGCCUUGUACACACCGCCCGUCACACCACGAGAGUGGUUAUAACCAGAAGCAGCUUAGCUAACCGCAAGGAGGCAAGCUACCAAGGUUCUAGCCGUGAUUGGGGUGAAGUCGUAACAAGGUAACCAAGGGCGAAUCGCACCUUUCGGAA